AGGUUACUGCUAUCGAGGUUCGACUAAGCCAUGCGAGUCGAAUGUAGCAAUACAUGGCGUACUGCUCAGUAACACGUGGACAACCUACCCUUAGGCCUGGGAUAACCCCGGGAAACUGGGAAUAAUACCGGAUAUCUCGCGAAUGCUGGAAUGCGUCGCGAUAGAAAGCUCCGGCGCCUAAGGAUGGGUCUGCGGCCUAUCAGGGUAGUAGUGGGUGUAACGUACCUACUAGCCUACGACGGGUACGGGUUGUGAGAGCAAGAGCCCGGAGAUGGAUUCUGAGACACGAAUCCAGGCCCUACGGGGUGCAGCAGGCGCGAAAACUUUACAAUGCUGGAAACAGCGAUAAGGGGACCUCGAGUGCCAGGAUACAAUCCUGGCUGUCGUAAUGCCUAAAAAGCAUUGCAUAGCAAGGGCCGGGCAAGACCGGUGCCAGCCGCCGCGGUAACACCGGCGGCUCGAGUGGUAACCGCUAUUAUUGGGUCUAAAGGGUCUGUAGCCGGCUGACUAAGUCUCUUGGGAAAUCUGACAGCUUAACUGUCAGGCUUUCAGGAGAUACUGAUCGGCUCGAGACCGGGAGAGGUGAGAGGUACCUCAGGGGUAGGGGUGAAAUCUUGUAAUCCUUGAGGGACCACCAGUGGCGAAGGCGUCUCACCAGAACGGAUCUGACGGCAAGGGACGAAAGCUAGGGGCACGAACCGGAUUAGAUACCCGGGUAGUCCUAGCCGUAAACGAUACUCGCUAGGUGUCGGCCACGGUGCGACCGUGGUCGGUGCCGUAGGGAAGCCGUGAUGCGAGCCACCUGGGAAGUAUGGCCGCAAGGCUGAAACUUAA
rnacentral:rRNA from 1 species